rnacentral:rRNA from 1 species
GAUGAACGCUGGCGGCGUGCCUAAUACAUGCAAGUCGAGCGAACGGACGAGAAGCUUGCUUCUCUGAUGUUAGCGGCGGACGGGUGAGUAACACGUGGAUAACCUACCUAUAAGACUGGGAUAACUUCGGGAAACCGGAGCUAAUACCGGAUGAUAUUUUGAACCGCAUGGUUCAAAAGUGAAAGACGGUCUUGCUGUCACUUAUAGAUGGAUCCGCGCUGCAUUAGCUAGUUGGUAAGGUAACGGCUUACCAAGGCAACGAUGCAUAGCCGACCUGAGGGGGUGAUCGGCCACACUGGAACUGAGACACGGUCCAGACUCCUACGGGAGUCAGCAGUAGGGAAUCUUCCGCAAUGGGCGAAAGCCUGACGGAGCAACGCCGCGUGAGUGAUGAAGGUCUUCGGAUCGUAAAACUCUGUUAUUAGGGAAGAACAUAUGUGUAAGUAACUGUGCACAUCUUGACGGUACCUAAUCAGAAAGCCACGGCUAACUACGUG